rnacentral:rRNA from 1 species
AGAGUUUGAUCAUGGCUCAGAUUGAACGCUGGCGGCAGGCCUAACACAUGCAAGUCGAACGGUAACAGGAAACAGCUUGCUGUUUCGCUGACGAGUGGCGGACGGGUGAGUAAUGUCUGUGAAACUGCCUGAUGGAGGGGGAUAACUACUGGAAACGGUAGCUAAUACCGCAUAACGUCGCAAGACCAAAGAGGGGGACCUUCGGGCCUCUUGCCAUCAGAUGUGCCCAGAUGGGAUUAGCUAGUAGGUGGGGUAACGGCUCACCUAGGCGACGAUCCCUAGCUGGUCUGAGAGGAUGACCAGCCACACUGGAACUGAGACACGGUCCAGACUCCUACGGGAGGCAGCAGUGGGGAAUAUUGCACAAUGGGCGCAAGCCUGAUGCAGCCAUGCCGCGUGUAUGAAGAAGGCCUUCGGGUUGUAAAGUACUUUCAGCGGGGAGGAAGGGAGUAAAGUUAAUACCUUUGCUCAUUGACGUUACCCGCAGAAGAAGCACCGGCUAACUCCGUGCCAGCAGCCGCGGUAAUACGGAGGGUGCAAGCGUUAAUCGGAAUUACUGGGCGUAAAGCGCACGCAGGCGGUUUGUUAAGUCAGAUGUGAAAUCCCCGGGCUCAACCUGGGAACUGCAUCUGAUACUGGCAAGCUUGAGUCUCGUAGAGGGGGGUAGAAUUCCAGGUGUAGCGGUGAAAUGCGUAGAGAUCUGGAGGAAUACCGGUGGCGAAGGCGGCCCCCUGGACGAAGACUGACGCUCAGGUGCGAAAGCGUGGGGAGCAAACAGGAUUAGAUACCCUGGUAGUCCACGCCGUAAACGAUGUCGACUUGGAGGUUGUGCCCUUGAGGCGUGGCUUCCGGAGCUAACGCGUUAAGUCGACCGCCUGGGGAGUACGGCCGCAAGGUUAAAACUCAAAUGAAUUGACGGGGGCCCGCACAAGCGGUGGAGCAUGUGGUUUAAUUCGAUGCAACGCGAAGAACCUUACCUGGUCUUGACAUCCACGGAAGUUUUCAGAGAUGAGAAUGUGCCUUCGGGAACCGUGAGACAGGUGCUGCAUGGCUGUCGUCAGCUCGUGUUGUGAAAUGUUGGGUUAAGUCCCGCAACGAGCGCAACCCUUAUCCUUUGUUGCCAGCGGUCCGGCCGGGAACUCAAAGGAGACUGCCAGUGAUAAACUGGAGGAAGGUGGGGAUGACGUCAAGUCAUCAUGGCCCUUACGACCAGGGCUACACACGUGCUACAAUGGCGCAUACAAAGAGAAGCGACCUCGCGAGAGCAAGCGGACCUCAUAAAGUGCGUCGUAGUCCGGAUUGGAGUCUGCAACUCGACUCCAUGAAGUCGGAAUCGCUAGUAAUCGUGGAUCAGAAUGCCACGGUGAAUACGUUCCCGGGCCUUGUACACACCGCCCGUCACACCAUGGGAGUGGGUUGCAAAAGAAGUAGGUAGCUUAACCUUCGGGAGGGCGCUUACCACUUUGUGAUUCAUGACUGGGGUGAAGUCGUAACAAGGUAACCGUAGGGGAACCUGCGGUUG